AACAAACGCUGGCGGCGUGCCUAAUACAUGCAAGUCGAACGGGGAAGUCCCGCAAGGGAUUGUACUAGUGGCGCACGGGUGAGUAACGCGUGGGUAAUCUGCCUUAGAGUGGGGGAUAACUAAUCGAAAGAUUAGCUAAUACCGCAUAAGACCACAGGAUCUGCGGAUCUAGGGGUAAAAGGUUUUUCGCUCUAAGAUGAGCCCGCGUAAGAUUAGCUAGUUGGUGAGGUAACGGCUCACCAAGGCAACGAUCUUUAGCUGGUCUGAGAGGAUGAUCAGCCACACUGGAACUGAGACACGGUCCAGACUCCUACGGGAGGCAGCAGUAGGGAAUAUUGCACAAUGGAGGAAACUCUGAUGCAGCGACGCCGCGUGAGUGAUGAAGGCCUUCGGGUUGUAAAGCUCUGUCGCAUGGGAAGAUAAUGACUGUACCCACAGAAGAAGACCCCGGCUAACCUCCGUCGCCAGCAGCCGCGGUAAU
rnacentral:rRNA from 1 species